rnacentral:lncRNA from 1 species
AGCAGCAAAGUAUGGGGAAUGGAGAUCCCAGCUCUGCAGAGAAAUCUGGCAAGGAAAAGGAGAUAGGAAAAGUGAGGGGAAGGCUGCAAUUUUAAGCUCAGUGCUCAGGGGAGACUCAUGGAGAAGGUGACGUUUGAGCAAGAACUGGGAGGAGGCAGAGCUUCGGGGAGGACCCAGGCCCCAGCCUCCGUCUUUGCCCCACACUAAACAUGACCCAUACAAUUGUGAUCAGGGCAUUCACCCUCUGCCUGGGGGGUAUUGUGAAGGGCAGUGAGUCCAGCUCUGGAGCCCCUGCUGCCCUGGGAGCUGCCCAGUCCCCAGCCCAGCUUUCCCUCUCACCCUCAGGACUCACAUCAACCCUGGUGGGGACAAAAGGCUGCAGCGCUGUUGGGGCUCAAAAUUCCCAGAAGACCACCAUCCACUCAGCCCCUCCUGGGGUGCUUGUGGCCUCCUAUACCCACUUCUGCUCCUCGGACCUGUGCAAUAGUGCCAGCAGCAGCAGCGUCCUGCUGAACUCCCUCCCUCCUCAAGCUGCCCCUGUCCCAGGAGACCGGCAGUGUCCUACCUGUGUGCAGCCCCUUGGAACCUGUUCAAGUGGCUCCCCCCAAAUGACCUGCCCCAGGGGCGCCACUCAUUGUUAUGAUGGGUACAUUCAUCUCUCAGGAGGUGAGGGCUGCAAGCAGGGCCCCAAGGAUGAAGGCGCUGGUGGCCUGGACUCCUGGGUCUGAAGGAGGAGGAGCUGGGGGCCUGGACUCCCGGUCCGAGGGAGGAGGGGCUGGGGGCCUGGACUCCCGGUCCGAGGGAGGAGGGGCUGGGGGCCUGGUCUCCCGGUCCGAGGGUGGAGGGGCUGGGGGCCAGGGCUCCUGGGUCUGAGGAGCUGAGGCUCUGGACUCCUGGGUCUGAGGGAGAAGGGACUGGGGGCCUGGACUCCUGGGUCUGAGGGAGGAGGGGCUGGGGACUUGGGCUCCUGGGUCUGAGGGAGGAGGGGCUGGGGGCCUGGACCCCUGGGUCUGAGGAGCUGGGGCUGGGGGUCAGGGCUCCUCGGUCUGAGGGAGGAGGGUCUGGGGCCUGGACUCCUGGGUUUACAACUUGGCUGGGCUGUACUCUGUGUCCUUUCUGACUUGGUCUUCUCCCUCUAGGUGGGCUGACCUCCACAAUGAGCAUUCAGGGCUGCGUGGCCCAACCUUCCAGCUUCUUGUUGAACCACACCAGACA